UUCCACAAUAAUGCCGUGGAAAUAUAAAAUUGGAACGAUACAGAGAAGAUUAGCAUGGCCCCUGCGCAAGGAUGACACACAAAUUUGUGAAGCGUUCCAUAUUUUU